UGGGGAAUUUUGGACAAUGGGGGCAAGCCUGAUCCAGCCAUGCCGCGUGAGUGAUGAAGGCCCUAGGGUUGUAAAACUCUUUCGUGGGGGACGAUAAUGACGGUACCCCAAGAAGAAGCUCCGGCUAACUUCGUGCCAGCAGCCGCGGUAAUACGAAGGGGGCUAGCGUUGUUCGGAUUUACUGGGCGUAAAGCGCGUGUAGGCGGGCUGGAAAGUUGGGGGUGAAAUCCCGAGGCUCAACCUCGGAACUGCCUCCAAAACUUCCAGCCUGGACUCAAGUAGAGGCAAGUGGAAUUGCGAGUGUAGAGGUGAAAUUCGUAGAUAUUCGCAGGAACACCAGUGGCGAAGGCGACUUGCUGGACUUGUAGUGACGCUGAGACGCGAAAGCGUGGGGAGCAAACAGGAUUAGAUACCCCCGUAGUCCCUGAGCGGGCUGGCAAGGCGCAU
rnacentral:rRNA from 1 species